AGACACAAGCGUGUCCCAUUUGGGCCAUCAUGGUCAAAAUAGUUCACCAGUUCGAUGACAUGCCCUUUGCCAGGAUGAUCGAGGCCCGGAACAGACAAAUUUAAAAGGUAUUGCAAGUUCUUUAUUGUUUCUAGAAGCGUCUGCUUUCAGUACCUUCAAUGCAACAUGUCGCUGGGGCCUUAAUUACGUCGAGAGGAAUUGCUGAAAGCAUAUUAUCCUAUCUGUUGGCAGAUGACCCCUUCAUAUUUCCAAACAGGAGAGUUCAAAUUAAAGGGUACCCAACCAAGAAAUGCAGGCUCGAAGAUUCAUAACCAUAGGGCAGGGGUGAGGGAAAGACAAACGAAAUACGUGAAAGUGCGAAGGGAAAUAUAGCCAAGACCCUGGAGGAGCCUUAGUUUGCAAUGCGGAGUGUGAACCGGGUUGAUUUCACACUCAAAGAGGGGUCAAGUCCUGUUGCAGAUAGAUCCAAUGUGAUCGUAAAGAGCAGUAUGGAGAGAGAUCUCCUCUGACAACCUGGAUCUCGACUCUACUGUCGCAUCGCACAUAGCUGGUCUCGUCCAGGAACACCAAAUUGACCCAGUUAGCUGAGAGGAUGAGAAACAAAACUGCCCAGGAUUUGGGGGCAAUUCGACAUUGUCAGGCUGACCCCUCUAAUGAGAGAUCAACAUAGUCGCAUG
rnacentral:sRNA from 1 species